ACCUGAUCAGGUAGAAUACCCGCUUAACUUAACAUAUAAUAAGGAGGAAUA
rnacentral:rRNA from 1 species